UUGUUUUGGCAUCACCUAUACUAAAAUUGCCAUGAUACAGAGAAGAUUACCAUAACCCCUGUGCAAGAAUGACACACAAAUUCAUACAAUUUUCCAUAUUUGG
ensembl:snRNA U6 U6 spliceosomal RNA